rnacentral:lncRNA from 1 species
CCCGCACCCCGCGUCUCCUCGGCGCUCCGCGACAGCCUCUGGCACCCAGCCUUUGCCCACCCGGUGUCCUCAGCGGCCCCACCGCGCUGGCACUUCCUCCUGGCUCCAGGGCAGCGUCUGCCCCCCCCCACCCCCCACCUCCCCGCCCCAUGCCCCUGGAUUCCCUACCCGCUCCUCUGCGCUCCGGGCGGCCCGUGCCGCCACCCUAGGCCGCCACUCCCCGAUGACCCCCUUCCGCUCGGGCCCCCCCCACUGCACCCCACACCCCUGAACCUCACCCCUCCUCCGAAUUCGGGCAGCCUCUGCCCGCCCCACCGGGGCCCCCGCCGCACCCAGGCGGCCUCCACGGCCCCCCGCACUCCUCUGCGUUCCCCGCACCGCCUGUGCGCUCGGGGCCGGCUCUGCCCCGCCCGGGAUAGGCGCCCCCAGCUACCCGCUUCCGCUCGGCCCCCUACUGCGCCCCCACCCCCCACGCCUACCCCUCACCCCUCCUCCGAAUUCGGGCAGCCUCUGCCAGCCCCCUCAGGUCCUCCGCCGCGCCCAGGCGGCCUCCACGCCCCCUGCCCUCCUCCUGCGUCCCCCUCACCGCCUGUGCGCUCCGGGCGGCCUCUGCCCCCAUCCUGGCCCGGCGCCCCCCGAUUCCUCCCUUCUGCUCCGGUCCGCCCCUGCACCCCGCUCCUCGCCGCUCCUCCGGACUCGGGCAGCCUGCGCCCCCCGCACCCCUGCGCCCCUCGCACCUCCUGCGCGCCCAGGCAGCCUCUGUGCCUCCGGGCCCCCGCCGCGCCCAGGCCGCCUCCACGCCCCCGGCACUCCUGUGCCCCCGGGCAGCCGCGGCCCGCCUGGUGCUGGGAGGCCCCGAGGACGGCGAUUGGCCGCCCGCCGGAAGCCCGGCCCCACCCGCCCGCCGCGGGGACCGGGUCUCGGCCGCCACCGCCCCCGCCCCGCCUGGGGUCCGCCUCCGCCGCCGGCCGCGGGGAGAGCCGGGGAGGGGCGGUGGCUGCCUUACACUCCUGUCCCCGCCCCUGCCCCCCACAACCCCAGCCCUGCUGA